rnacentral:rRNA from 1 species
CUACGGGUGGCUGCAGUGGGGAAUAUUGGACAAUGGGCCACAAGCCUGAUCCAGCAAUUCUGUGUGCACGAUGAAGGUUUUCGUAUCGUAAAGUGCUUUCAGUUGGGAAGAAGAAAGUGACGGUACCAACAGAAGAAGCGACGGCUAAAUACGUGCCAGCAGCCGCGGUAAUACGUAUGUCGCAAGCGUUAUCCGGAUUUAUUGUGCGUAAAGCGCGUCUAGGCGGAAAAGAAAGUCUGAUGUUAAAAUGCGGGGCUCAACUCCGUAUUGCGUUGGAAACUGCUUUUCUAGAGUACUGGAGAGGUGGGCGGAACUACAAGUGUAGAGGUGAAAUUCGUAGAUAUUUGUAGGAAUGCCGAUGGAGAAGUCAGCUCACUGGACAGAUACUGACGCUAAAGCGCGAAAGCGUGGGGAGCAAACAGGAUUAGAUACCCCCGUAGUC